ACAUCAUCACUCUGACUGCCCAGGCAUCCAAGUUCCAUCCCGACAUCAUCACGUUCCGCUGGUUCUGUGAGGGUGGGGAAUUAAGCCCGGUGACGGUACCCCCCAAGCUGGCGGCCCCUCGGCCCGACACACAGGGAUUUUUCUCUGCUGUGAGCCAAUGCAAGCUGCUCCGAACAGAGCUGGAGCGAGGAGGGACCAGGGUCUGGGUCAGCAUCCACCACAUCGCCCUCAAGCAGCCCGUCACACGGGAAACCAGGGGGUUCAUUAAGAAGCCUUUGGUGUCUGAAAUUACAAGCUUCCCGUCAGCCACUUCCUCUCACAACCUAUCUCUUACCCUGGGUUGUGACAUCACUGACUUCUACCCCCCCCGACAUCUCUAUAACCUGGUUCCACGUUUGGAAAUCAGAAGAUGGAGAGAGGGAAGAACCAUGGGAUGAAGAACAGGAGCAGAAUAGAGAAGAGGUUAAACAAGGGUCUGAAAUCUGGGGACCUCUGCUGACCCAUCCAAGAACCUUCCGGGUCACCGCAAUGCUGCGGGAUGUGAAGGUUGGGGAUGUGGGAUCCCAAAAAGGACAUCAUAUUGUGUGCAGAGUAGAACACAGCUCCAUGCAAAUGCCCAUUGAAAGAGUCUGGAGGCAGGUGCAUAUAGCCCCUCCCAUCAUCCCCUCGUCACUUUCAGUUAACUGGACCAGUGAAGGUGUGGGACUCUUCUCCCUGCUUCUAACUGGCGGGAGCCCUUGGCCAAAGCUACUUUGGGCCGGUGGAGGCACCACUCUCACCCAGCUCCUCUCAACAGAGACCAAGACAGUGAACAAGGACGGGAGAUGUGAGUUCAGGAGCACUUGUGCUCUGGUGCGGUCCGCCGAACCGCAGAUUAAGGAUGAAAAGAAGCUGGGGAACGGACGUGCACAAAACUUGAGGACACCAGAUUUGGAAAAUGAAUCGAUCACGUUCAUAGAUGAGGAUGAAGACGAUGGAGUGAGAAGGGGUGUCAAGAAGAGCCCAAAACAGAGAGAAGUGAAGAAGUAUGAGGAAGAGAAUUUAGAAAAUGGGGCUAAAGAGUUGGGGAUCGACCCGUCUCACAUCAACACAGUAUAUGUAAGCAAAGAAGGAGGACUGGAACAACGUCUGAGGGUUACUGUGGAGAUCACUCAUCCUGCAUUUGCUCUGCCAGUCUAUCUGACAUGGACAGAUCUAAAGGAGGACACAUGACACUGGCUCCCACUGGAACAGAAGUGCCCGUUUUCUGUAUAUAGUUUGGUGUAUAGAUCAAUGUCCAGUACUCUUCUGACUGCUGUAGAACCCCCUGGAUCUGAUCAAGCCUUAACUACUACUGAUGUUUCCUGCCCUGUUCCUAUGCAAGUACCGAAUUCUGAUGCAGAUAGCAGGUUAUGUGGAUUAUUUAUACUAAAAUGCUUUGAAAUAAUGGAUCUUGUAUGUGACCUGAAAUAAAUAUACC
ensembl:lncRNA